GUCUCUUUCAGCCUGUGCUCCUGAGAACAGCAGCAAGUGGAGAAGCUGGAGAAACCGGGAGGGCCAAGGGACACACGUCCAGUCCCUGAGCUGAUAAGCAGCGGCCUAGGACAUUGAUCCUGAAGAGGAAUUUCCUGUUGAGACUUCCUCUUUCCUGGGGAGCGCCACAGUGUCUGGCCGGCGCCUGGCUUGCGCACACACACACACACACACACACACACACACACACACUUUUGUCGGUCAGAAAGCUGCGCCGCUGCCCUGUCUACUGAGGGGUUUUGAGCCUCUCCGUCCUUACCUUCUCUCUCACGCUUCAAAGGUCCUGGGAUGUUGAACUCAGACUUGGCCAUAAGCGACCUCACCAACUGAGCCACCUCCCCGAGGCCUUGGAGGUGGUUUGUGAGAGCAGCUCCAAGAGAAGAGGAAGUACAAGGAUGUCCAGGGUUGACUGGCACACACUGCAGCUUCUGGGGCCACACCCCUACCUCUUGCUGAUGCACAGGGUCCUCCAGACCAUUGCCCUAUCCCCGCCCCUGGGCUCUGGCUCUACCACCUACGGAAUUAGACCCAGAGUGGCAGUUUCACAAAGGCUGCUGAGAAGAGUGAAGGUUGGAUGUGGGCCGGGCUCAGUCACCUCAGGGCUGUUUAUCCUUCCCAAGCAGCCGGUCAUGUGCCUGGCUAUUUGCAGCUGAGAGACAGAAGAAAGAACUCCGGGAACUAGAAAGUCGCUGCUUCCUGGAUUUGGGUGUGGAUUUGGAUCAGGUGACCUGACUGUUGCUUAGAGGCCUGGCUUCUGUCUUCACCAUUAGUUCUUACUACAGGGAAAGCAAGCAACAACCGGGAUGUCCACAGGUUCUCCCUAGGUCAAGUGGCCACCCCAAGGCCCAGGUCUGUCAUUUGGCUCAUAAACAAGGACAAGUACAGGAAAGUGGUACACUCUGCCCGUAGCUCUGACUCUUUUGUUUUGUUUUAGAUUUAUGUGUGUGUGUGUGUACACUAUUGCUGUCUUCAGACACUUCAGAAGAAGGUGUCAGAUAUCAUUACAGAUGGUUGUGAGCCACCAUGUGGUUGCUGGGGUUUGAACUCAGGACCUCUGGAAGAACAGUCAGUGCUCUUAACCUCUGAGCCAUCUCUCCAGCCCCGUAGCUCUGAGUCUUAGCACACCAGAGCCUAGGAAAUGUACAGGUCAUGAGUUGUUUGUUUUUGUUUUUGUUCAUUUUUUUGGUUUUUUUCGAGACAAGGUUUCUCUGUGUAGCCCUAGCUGUUCUGGAACUCACUCUGUAGACCAGGCUGGCCUCGAACUCAGAAAUCUGCCUGCCUCUGCCUCCCGAGUGCUGGGAUUAAAGGCGUGCACCACCACUA